rnacentral:sRNA from 1 species
GACCUAACCCUUAAAUUUUUAUUUAAGGCAUGGCCUAAAAUCCUUACGAAUAAAGACGGCCUCAUGGUCGGUCCUAUUCGUAAGGUCUGCUUCCGAAAGGUUGCAGGAUGCCCGAAAGGGUGU